AGAGUUUGAUUAUGGCUCAGGAUGAACGCUGGCGGCGUGCUUAACACAUGCAAGUCGAACGGGCUCAUAUUGAAACCUAGUGAUGUAUGAGUUAGUGGCGGACGGGUGAGUAACGCGUGGAGAACCUGCCGUAUACUGGGGGAUAACACUUAGAAAUAGGUGCUAAUACCGCAUAAGCGCACAGCUUCGCAUGAAGCAGUGUGAAAAACUCCGGUGGUAUACGAUGGAUCCGCGUCUGAUUAGCUGGUUGGCGGGGUAACAGCCCACCAAGGCGACGAUCAGUAGCCGGCCUGAGAGGGUGAACGGCCACAUUGGGACUGAGACACGGCCCAAACUCCUACGGGAGGCAGCAGUGGGGAAUAUUGCACAAUGGGGGAAACCCUGAUGCAGCGACGCCGCGUGAGUGAAGAAGUAUUUCGGUAUGUAAAGCUCUAUCAGCAUGGAAGAAAAUGACGGUACCUGACUAAGAAGCCCCGGCUAACUACCUGCCAGCAGCCGCGGUAAUACGUAAGGGGCAAGCGUUAUCCGGAUUUACUGGGUGUAAAAGGAGCCGUA
rnacentral:rRNA from 1 species